UACGUAGGGUGCAAGCGUUGUCCGGAAUUAUUGGGCGUAAAGAGCUCGUAGGCGGUCUGUCGCGUCUGCUGUGAAAACCUAGGGCUUAACUCUGGGCGUGCAGUGGGUACGGGCAGGCUAGAGUGCGGUAGGGGAGACUGGAAUUCCUGGUGUAGCGGUGAAAUGCGCAGAUAUCAGGAGGAACACCGGUGGCGAAGGCGGGUCUCUGGGCCGUAACUGACGCUGAGGAGCGAAGCAUGGGGGAGCGAACAGG
rnacentral:rRNA from 1 species